rnacentral:rRNA from 1 species
AACAAACGCUGGCGGCGUGCCUAAUACAUGCAAGUCGAACGAAGAAAGUCCUUCGGGACAAGUAAGAGUGGCGCACGGGUGAGUAACGCGUGGAUAAUCUGCCCUCUAGUGGGGAACAACCUACCGAAAGGUAGGCUAAUACCGCAUAAUAUCACAGUGACUGAGGUCGCAGUGGUUAAAGAUUUAUCGCUAGAGGAUGAGUCCGCGUAUGAUUAGCUUGUUGGUGAGGUAAUGGCUCACCAAGGCUCCGAUCAUUAGCUGGUUUGAGAGGAUGAUCAGCCACACUGGAACUGAGACACGGUCCAGACUCCUACGGGAGGCAGCAGUAGGGAAUAUUGCGCAAUGGGGGAAACCCUGACGCAGCAACGCCGCGUGUGUGAUGAAGGCUUUAGGGUCGUAAAGCACUGUCGUAAGGAAAUAUUAUGAAGGUACCUUACAAGAAAGGACCGGCUAACUUCG